UUCUAUAUAUGUACAUUACAGCACCAGCAUAUAUCAAAUCACAAGGCAAGGAAAUAACUUCUACAAUUGAUUACAGAAAUAUCUAGUUUAGUUGCAUGCAUGUCAACUGGGAAGAGACAAAAGCAAAGAGAUAAUCAUCAUAUAUUGAAAAUAAAUAAAAACCAGCAAGCCUAAUCAAAGCUGAAUACGUAUACAAGCUAUUGCUGCUUUUUAAACUUAUUGUUGGAUCUAAAGAAAACUUAACUUAACCGUGCUAUUGAACUGUGUAAUGGUGUUAGAUAUUUUAAAUUAUAUUACACAUAACUAAAUUUAUUUGAUGACUUCGUAUCAAGUUUGCACAUCGACUUAGAUGAAAUAUAGGGUAAGUGCUUCCCCGUGAACGCAUUUUGGCUUGGUCAUUUGAAGCAAUAAGUGAAUGUAGGAACUAUUAGUUAGCAAAUUAUCAUUCCUUUUGAGUUUGUGUACAAGGAACAUGAUUGAGGAAGCAAGAAGGAAUGCAAGGCUGGAAAAUUUGAGCGGUUCAAGCAAGAAUGUAUCGAAAGGAGACAAAAAGGUUUCAUGAUAUGGAGUUCCACCUUGCUCCACGUAAAAGUUUCAUGGGCUUCAAGAAAUGACUGUGAGAUAGAAAAUCCAUACUGUAUGAUUGGUGUCACCCUUUUAAUGCACACUAGUGGUUGGGGCGCCCCUUGGGACGCCUCCUCGCUGGUGCUCUGCAACCCAAUCCCAACGCCCAAAUGACAAAAUGUCACAUGGGUCUUGUGCUGCUCAGCUUGCUCAGCCUGUAUUUAUGUAUACCUUAGCACGUCGAAAAGCAAUUGAUUGAUAGCUUGCGUGCUGAA